rnacentral:rRNA from 1 species
GUUAGGAAUAUUCGUCAAUGGGGGAAACCCUGAACGAGCAAUGCCGCGUGAGUGAUGACGGUCUUUAUGAUUGUAAAACUCUGUUGUAUGGGAAGAACACUAGAUAUAGGAAAUGAUAUCUAGCUGACGGUACCAUGCCAGAAAGCCCCGGCUAACUACGUGCCAGCAGCCGCGGUAAUACGUAGGGGGCGAGCGUUAUCCGGAUUUAUUGGGCGUAAAGCGUGUGUAGGGGGUUUAUUAAGUAUAAGAUUAAAGCCUGGGGCUUAACUCCAGUUCGUAUUAGAAACUGGUAGACAUGAGUGAGGUAGAGGCAAAUGGAAUUUCUAGUGUAGCGGUAAAAUGCGUAGAUAUUAGAAGGAACACCGGUGGCGAAGGCGAUUUGCUGGGCCAUUACUGACGCUGAGACACGAAAGCGUGGGGAGCGAAUAGGAUUAGAAACCCUUGUAGUCC